AUGAAAGAGGGUGGUUCAGGGAAAUCUUCAAAAAUUUGUAUCGUAGACACUAAAAGAACCAAACUCGUCCUCUUGGAGGGGCCAGAGUACUUCGGUCACAGCAAAAGAGAUGAAAUAAUAAGACAGUGGAAGUUGCAUCAUCAUUUUUUCUAUGGUUUUGCAAAUGUAAACAAUCUUCCUUUCCUUCCCUUUCUACCAUACCUAUUUGAUUUCUUCAUUUUUCUCUCCUUCGUGAAAGCCUUGAAAACCCUUCAGGCUUUUACAGAAGGUGGGAAUUUGAGUAGAAAGGGGGUGGUGUGGUGGAUAUUUUGA